rnacentral:rRNA from 1 species
UACGUAGGGAGCAAGCGUUGUCCGGAAUCAUUGGGCGUAAAGAGCGCGUAGGCGGUCCAGUAAGUCGGUUGUGAAAACUGGGGGCUCAACCCUCAGAGGCCGACCGAUACUGCCGGGCUAGAGUCCGGAAGAGGCGAGUGGAAUUCCUGGUGUAGCGGUGAAAUGCGCAGAUAUCAGGAGGAACACCAAUGGCGAAGGCAGCUCGCUGGGACGGUACUGACGCUGAGGCGCGAAAGCGUGGGGAGCAAACAGG